CCUACGGGGGGCAGCAGUGGGGGAUAUUGCACAAUGGGGGAAACCCUGAUGCAGCGACGCCGCGUGGGUGAAGAAGCGCCUCGGCGCGUAAAGCCCUGUCAGCAGGGAAGAAAAUGACGGUACCUGAAGAAGAAGCCCCGGCUAACUACGUGCCAGCAGCCGCGGUAAUACGUAGGGGGCAAGCGUUAUCCGGAUUUACUGGGUGUAAAGGGGGCGCAGACGGCGAUGCAAGCCAGGCGUGAAAGCCCGGGGCCCAACCCCGGGACUGCUGUUGGAACUGCGUGGCUAGAGUGCAGGAGGGGCAGGCGGAAUUCCUGGUGUAGCGGUGAAAUGCGUAGAUAUCAGGAGGAACACCGGUGGCGAAGGCGGCCUGCUGGACUGCAACUGACGUUGAGGCCCGAAGGCGUGGGGAGCAAACAGGAUUAGAUACCCUUGUAGUC
rnacentral:rRNA from 1 species